rnacentral:rRNA from 1 species
GACGAACGCUGGCGGCGUGCUUAACACAUGCAAGUCGAACGGAAAGGCCCUGCUUUUGUGGGGUGCUCGAGUGGCGAACGGGUGAGUAACACGUGAGUAACCUGCCCUUGACUUUGGGAUAACUUCAGGAAACUGGGGCUAAUACCGGAUAGGAGCUCCUGCUGCAUGGUGGGGGUUGGAAAGUUUCGGCGGUUGGGGAUGGACUCGCGGCUUAUCAGCUUGUUGGUGGGGUAGUGGCUUGCCAAGGCUUUGACGGGUAGCUGGCCUGAGAGGGUGACCGGCCACAUUGGGACUGAGAUACGGCCCAGACUCCUACGGGAGGCAGCAGUGGGGAAUAUUGCACAAUGGGCGGAAGCCUGAUGCAGCAACGCCGCGUGCGGGAUGACGGCCUUCGGGUUGUAAACCGCUUUCGCCUGUGACGAAGCGUGAGUGACGGUAAUGGGUAAAGAAGCACCGGCUAACUACGUG